rnacentral:rRNA from 1 species
UCAGUAACACGUAGUCAACAUGCCCAGGGACGUGGAUAACCUCGGGAAACUGAGGAUAAACCGCGAUAGGUCACUGCUUCUGGAAUGGGCAAUGACCCAAACCUACAUGGCCCCUGGAUUGGACUGCGGCCGAUCAGGCUGUUGGUGAGGUAAUGGCCCACCAAACCUGUAACCGGUACGGGCUCUGAGAGGAGGAGCCCGGAGAUGGGCACUGAGACAAGGGCCCAGGCCCUAUGGGGCGCAGCAGGCGCGAAACCUCUGCAAUAGGCGAAAGCUUGACAGGGUUACUCUGAGUGAUUUCCGUUAAGGAGAUCUUUUGGCACCUCUAAAAAUGGUGCAGAAUAAGGGGUGGGCAAGUCUGGUGCCAGC